AGCGCAGGCGGGAAGGUAAGUCUAUCUUAAAAGUGCGGGGCUCAACCCCGUGAGGGGAUAGAAACUAUUUUUCUUGAGUGCAGGAGAGGAAAGCGGAAUUCCUAGUGUAGCGGUGAAAUGCGUGGAUAUUAGGAGGAACACCAGUGGCGAAGGCGGCUUUCUGGACUGUAACUGACGCUGAGGCUCGAAAGCCAGGGGAGCGAACG
rnacentral:rRNA from 1 species